rnacentral:rRNA from 1 species
CCUACGGUGUGCAGCAGUGGGGAAUAUUGCACAAUGGGGGGAACCCUGAUGCAGCGACGCCGCGUGAGUGAAGAAGUAUUUCGGUAUGUAAAGCUCUAUCAGCAGGGAAGAAGAUGACGGUACCUGACUAAGAAGCCCCGGCUAACUACGUGCCAGCAGCCGCGGUAAUACGUAGGGGGCAAGCGUUAUCCGGAUUUACUGGGUGUAAAGGGAGCGUAGACGGCAGGGCAAGUCUGGAGUGAAGGCCCGGGGCCCAACCCCGGGACUGCUUUGGAAACUGCCAUGCUAGAGUGCUGGAGAGGAAAGCGGAAUUCCUGGUGUAGCGGUGAAAUGCGUAGAUAUUAGGAGGAACACCGGUGGCGAAGGCGUCUUACUGGACCGAAACUGACGUUGAGGCUCGAAAGCGUGGGGAGCAAACAGGAUUAGAUACCCGAGUAGUC